UACAGAGGGUGCAAGCGUUGUUCGGAAUUACUGGGCGUAAAGGGCGCGUAGGCGGCCAACUAAGUCAGACGUGAAAUCCCUCGGCUUAACCGGGGAACUGCGUCCGAUACUGGAUGGCUUGGAUUUGGGAGAGGGAUGCGGAAUUCCAGGUGUAGCGGUGAAAUGCGUAGAUAUCUGGAGGAACACCGGUGGCGAAGGCGGCAUCCUGGACCGGCAUUGACGCUGAGGAGCGAAAGCCAGGGGAGCAAACGGG
rnacentral:rRNA from 1 species